AAAAACAUGGCCUUUUGAUUUUGAUUUAAGGUCUAACCUGCCCAAUGAUUUUAUUAUUUAAUGGCCGCGGUAUUUUGACCGUGCAAAGGUAGCAUAAUCAUUAGUUUUUUAAUUGAAAGCUGGAAUGAAGGGUUGAAUGAGAAAAUAACUGUUUUUUUUAUAUUUUAUUAAAACUUUAUUUUUAAGUUAAAAAGCUUAAAUUUUAUUUAAAGACGAGAAGACCCUUUAGAGUUUUAUAAAAAUUUCUUUUUUUUUUCUUUAGAAUUAAUAAAAUUAAAAUGGGAAUUUUUAUUUGGUUGGGGCGAUUAAAAAAUUUAAAAAACUUUUUUUUCUAGAAAACAUUUAUUUAUGAUUAGUUGAUCCAUAUUUUAUGAUUAAAAGAAAAAAUUACCUAAGGGAUAACAGCGUUAUUUUUUUUGAGAGUUCAAAUCGAAAAAAAAGAUUGCGACCUCGAUGUUGGAUUAAAAUUAAAUUAUGGUGUAGAGGCU
rnacentral:rRNA from 1 species